AAGGUGUUGUUCCGGACACCCCGACCGGCCCAAACCACCCGGCCCCACAGAUUGGUUUGAGUGUUAAAUCAGGUACUCAGCGGCUCCAUGGAAGGGAGGAACAGUGCAUGGUGCCCACAAGGAACCCACCCAUAUUAAGUGGAAUUCCCACACUGCGGCUGCCAUGGCUCGAUCCUGUUCCUGCAGAGUCCCAAACAUUUUUGAUAGCUUCUUGUAUGCAAAAAGGUGUUGUUCCGGACACCCCGACCGGCCCAAACCACCCGGCCCCACAGAUUGGUUUGAAUGUUAAAUCAGGUACUCAGCGGCUCCAUGGAAGGGAGGAACAGUGCAUGGUGCCCACAAGGAACCCACCCAUAUUAAGUGGAAUUCCCACACUGCGGCUGCCAUGGCUCGAUCCUGCACCCUUGUAUGCAAUCUGCCCCCCACUUUACCAACUGAGCUAGCCCUAGGG
rnacentral:lncRNA from 1 species